rnacentral:rRNA from 1 species
AGAGUUUGAUCCUGGCUCAGGAUGAACGCUAGCUACAGGCUUAACACAUGCAAGUCGAGGGGAAACGACAUCGAAAGCUUGCUUUUGAUGGGCGUCGACCGGCGCACGGGUGAGUAACGCGUAUCCAACCUGCCCAUCACUUGGGGAUAACCUUGCGAAAGUAAGACUAAUACCCAAUGAUAUCUCUAGAAGGCAUCUGAAAGAGAUUAAAGAUUUAUCGGUGAUGGAUGGGGAUGCGUCUGAUUAGCUUGUUGGCGGGGUAACGCCCACAAGCAACGAUCAGUAGGGGUUCUGAGAGGAAGGUCCCCCANAUUGGAACUGAGACACGGCCCAAACUCCUACGGGAGGCA